UCUUUUAAUUGAGGGCUUGUAUGAAUGGUUGGACGAGAUAUUGACUGUCUCAAGUUAAUUUAUGAAAUUUUAUAUUUAGGUAAAAAAGCCUAAAUUUUAUUAAAAGACGAGAAGACCCUAUAGAUCUUUAUAUAUUUUUAUAUUAGUUUAAUAAAGGAUAAUUAUAAUUUGAUAUAUAAAAUUAUUUUAUUGGGGUGAUAGUAAGAUUUAUUAAACUCUUAUAUUUUGUUUUACACAAAUUAGUGAUUAAUUGAUCCUCUUAUAGUGAUUGUUAGAUUAAGUUACCUUAGGGAUAACAGCGUAAUUUUCUUAGAGAGUUCAUAUCGAUAAGAAAGAUUGC
rnacentral:rRNA from 1 species